UACAGAGGGGGCAAGCGUUGUUCGGAAUUACUGGGCGUAAAGGGCGCGUAGGCGGCCCGCUAAGUCGAACGUGAAAUCCCCGAGCUCAACUCGGGAACUGCGUCCGAUACUGGUGGGCUUGAAUCCGGGAGAGGGAUGCGGAAUUCCAGGUGUAGCGGUGAAAUGCGUAGAUAUCUGGAGGAAUACCGGUGGCGAAGGCGGCAUCCUGGACCGAGAUUGACACUGAUGAGCGAAAGCUAGGGGAGCAAACGGG
rnacentral:rRNA from 1 species